rnacentral:rRNA from 1 species
GUGUCAGCAGCCGCGGUAAUACGUAGGGUGCGAGCGUUGUCCGGAAUUACUGGGCGUAAAGAGCUCGUAGGUGGUUUGUCGCGUCGUCUGUGAAAUUCCGGGGCUUAACUUCGGGCGUGCAGGCGAUACGGGCAAUACUUGAGUGCUGUAGGGGAGACUGGAAUUCCUGGUGUAGCGGUGGAAUGCGCAGAUAUCAGGAGGAACACCGAUGGCGAAGGCAGGUCUCUGGGCAGUAACUGACGCUGAGGAGCGAAAGCAUGGGUAGCGAACAGGAUUAGAUACCCCGGUAGUCC